CGACGGGUGAGUAACACGUAUCCAACCUGCCCUUUACUCGGGGAUAGCCUUUCGAAAGAAAGAUUAAUACCCGAUGGCAUAAUGAUUCCGCAUGGUUUCAUUAUUAAAGGAUUCCGGUAAAGGAUGGGGAUGCGUUCCAUUAGGUUGUUGGUGAGGUAACGGCCCACCAAGCCUUCGAUGGAUAGGGGUUCUGAGAGGAAGGUCCCCCACAUUGGAACUGAGACACGGUCCAAACUCCUACGGGAGGCAGCAUG
rnacentral:rRNA from 1 species